GGUCUAUAAGGGAGAAUUCCAACUACCUGACUUUCUUAAAGAAAAACCACAGACUGAGCAAGUGGAGUAGCAGAACCAGGAGCCUCUUCCAUACAUGAG
rnacentral:sRNA from 1 species